rnacentral:rRNA from 1 species
UGCCAGCCGCCGCGGUAAUACGGAGGGGGCUAGCGUUGUUCGGAAUAACUGGGCGUAAAGCGCGCGUAGGCGGAUUAUCAAGUUGGGGGUGAAAGCCCGGGGCUCAACCUCGGAACGGCCUCCAAAACUGAUAAUCUAGAGUUCUGGAGAGGUAAGUGGAAUUCCUAGUGUAGAGGUGAAAUUCGUAGAUAUUAGGAAGAACACCAGUGGCGAAGGCGACUUACUGGACAGAUACUGACGCUGAGACUCGAAAGCGUGGGUAGCAAACAGGAUUAGAUA